CCCCACCACCCAGGAGACCAGCUACACCCUCAUCCUCAACCAGGUUGAACCCCCAAUAUUCCCCACCACCCAGGAGACCAGCUUCACCCAGAUCCCCAACCAGGUUAAACCCCCAAUAACACCCACCACCCAGGAGACCAGCUACACCCACACCAAACCAAAGAAGACGGGGAGAAAGUCCUGUCACCUUGUCACCCUCAAAAAACCCUCCAAAUCAAUGAGCAUGACAGUCAACUCCAUCCCAUCCAAUCCCAUCCAACCCCAUCCAACCCCAUUCUACCCCAUCCAACCCCAUCCUACCCCAUCCAACCCCGACCAAGGAAGAGGAAAUAUGACUACAUGCAAAAGAGUGUCCAGUGCAUCCGGGGCAAACGAUUUUCCCUAUUCUCAAGAUUCUUGCCAAUAGAACUUCAAAGGAGGGUCAGGAGCAGAAGGUGAGGUGGAAGCCAUGCUCUGGAUGUGGCAAGAAAUGGGACGAUGACUGGAUCAAGGCAGAGGACCGCGUUUCUCCAGUUUAACCUACUUUAUGCACAAAUGUAUUCCUCACUCUCCCUUCACAUGUAUCACUGUCAAUUAUAAAUGGUUGGCCAAAUUCACCAUGGUUUACCAUUGAAACAUUCAUGGAACAUCAGCAUGCCAACCAUUUGAUCUCAAUCAGUUUCAUGAGAAUAUGCAUUUAGAUAUUCUUCAUAUAAAGUGAGCUACAAACGUAUUKCAACAGUGACACAUUUUUUGUUGUUUUGGAUGUGUACUCCAGAACUUUGUAUUUGAAAUUAUACAAUGACUAUGAGGUUAAAGUGCAGACUAUCGUCUUUAAUUUGAGUGUAUUUUCAUCCAUAUCUGGUGAACCGUUUACAAAUUACAGCACAUUUUGUACAUAGCCCCACCAUUUUGGGGGACCAAAAGUAUUGUGAUAAAUUCAUUUAUGUGUAUUAAAGUAGUCAGAAGUUGAGUAUUUUUGUGUUGUUAAAUAUAUACGUUUAAUUUCACUCAAAUUUUUUACCUUUAGUCUAUGCCUAUUUCUAUAACACAAUGCACAUAGCUGAUUAUCUUAUGGAGUAGAUACAAUUAUAUUUACUAAAGACAGUUCAUUUGCAAGUUUAAUGGUCUAUUUUUCUCCAGAUCAAACGUGUUGGUCUUUCAGCCAAAGCACCCCAUACAGAAGCAAUCAGUUGAUAUAAUAAAGAACAAACAUAAAUAAUC